AACGCCAAGAACCUUACCAGGUCUUGACACCCUGCUGACCGGUGAGUAAUGUCACCUUUCCUUCGGGACAGCAGAGACAGGUGGUGCAUGGUUGCCGUCAGCUCGUGUCGUGAGAUGUUGGGUUAAGUCCCGCAACGAGCGCAACCCUUAUUGUCAGUAGCCAGCAUUAUGGAUGGGCACUCUGAUGAGACUGCCAGGGAUAACCUGGAGGAAGGUGGGGAUGACGUCAAAUCAUCAUGCCCCUUAUGACUUGGGCUACACACGUGCUACAAUGGCGUAAACAAAGGGAAGCGAGCCCGCGAGGGGGAGCAAAUCCCAAAAAUAACGUCCCAGUUCGGAUUGUAAUCUGCAACCCGACUACAUGAAGCUGGAAUCGCUAGUAAUCGCAGGAUCAGCAUGCCGCGGUGAAUACGUUCCCGGGCCU
rnacentral:rRNA from 1 species